rnacentral:rRNA from 1 species
GAUUUACUGGGCGUAAAGGGAGCGUAGGCGGAUACUUAAGUGGGAUGUGAAAUACCCGGGCUCAACCCGGGUGCUGCAUUCCAAACUGGGUAUCUAGAGUGUGGGAGAGGAAAGUGGAAUUCCUAGUGUAGCGGUGAAAUGCGUAGAUAUUAGGAAGAACACCAGUGGCGAAGGCGACUUUCUGGACCAUAACUGUGAGU